rnacentral:rRNA from 1 species
UACAGAGGAUGCAAGCGUUAUCCGGAAUGAUUGGGCGUAAAGCGUCUGUAGGUGGCUUUUUAAGUCCGCCGUCAAAUCCCAGGGCUCAACUCUGGACAGGCGGUGGAAACUACCAAGCUGGAGUACGGUAGGGGCAGAGGGAAUUUCCGGUGGAGCGGUGAAAUGCGUAGAGAUCGGAAGGAACACCUGUGGCGAAAGCGGCUCACUGGACCAUUACUGACGCUGAUGCACGAAGGCUAGGGGAGCAAACAGG